GUGCUUGCUUCAGCAGCAUGAAUACUAAAACUAGAAUAAUACAGAAAAUAGCAUGGCCUGUAUACAAGAAUACCACACACAGUUGUGAAUUGUUUCAUAUUUUU
ensembl:snRNA U6 U6 spliceosomal RNA